rnacentral:lncRNA from 1 species
AUGUAUGUUUUCAAUUCUGUCGGCUAUGUCCUGAGAAUAGAUUUGCACAGUAAUAGGAUGUCUUGUAUGAUUCCUUCUCUGAAAAACUCCAAGAUGUUUUUUCAAAGUAGCUGCACCGGUUCCCAUCCAUCCAUCUAUCCCCCCUCCCCCCGGCCCCCAGUGUCUUUUUGUCUUCGUCAACACUUGCUACUUUCUUUUCUGUUAAAACCAGCCUUGUGGGCAUGGAUGGCAUCUUUCUUGCACUGUUCGGAGACUAGGAACUUUUAAAAACCGAGAUCCAUCUUUUGGAUGGAUCUGAGAGAUCCAAGGUUAAGAAGUGGACACCUGGUGAUUGUCUCCUGAUAUGUUAUUCGGUGGCAAAAGGCAGGAGUUGAAGGGCCAGGGACCACAUGUAAAAGUAUCAGUUGAACUCUAGCCUUCUUAUAAUAAGGGAAACUCAUUCAUGAAGGUGAAUGUGACCUCCCAUUAAGCUUCGCUUCUCAACAUUUACAUUGGGGGUUAAAUUUCCAACACAUACUUUUUUUAGAGCAACACACCCAAAUGAUAGCAGUAUCUCAUUUUCAUUUGCUUAACUUUGAUGACUUGUGAUAUGUAGCAAAGAGAAUGAAAAAAAUAAAGAUGAAAGGAGAGAAAUAGCUAGGCAGUGGUGGUACAUGCCUUUCUCUUGUUGAGACAGACUCAUAUAGACCAGGCUUCCCUUGAACUUGCUAUAUACCUGAGGAUGAUCUUGAGCUUCUGAUCCUCCUGCCUCUACCUCCAAAGCACUAGGGUUGUAGGCACACACUACCAUGGCCAGUUCAUGUGGAGCUUGGCAGCAUCCCCAGCACUUGGUGCCAGCUAGCAAGCACUCUGCCAACUGAGAUGCAUCACUAUUGCUGUCCUUUGUACUGUCUCAGUGAUGUUCUUUGGAACUCUGCUUUAUCAUGAAAAAUACCAUGUUAAAGUCUCCCAAAAGGUUCUACUGUGAAUAUUAAGAUGACCAUUUAUUUUUCUUCUAUUAAUAGAUUACAUUGAUUAACAUUUCAAAUGUUAAAUAAAUGCAUCACUAUUGCUGUCCUUUGUACUGUCUCAGUGAUGUUCUUUGGAACUCUGCUUUAUCAUGAAAAAUAUCAUGUUAAAGUCUCCCAAAAGGUUCUACUGUGAAUAUUAAGAUGACCAUGUGGUAUUUUUCUUCUAUUAAUAGAUUACAUUGAUUAACAUUUCAAAUGUUAAAUAAACCAGGCAUUCCAAAAAAAAUUCAUUUUGUUAUGGUGCCUUAACCUUUCUGUAUGGUAUUAGAUUUAUUUUGCUGGGAACUUUUGAAUGUGUAUUCAUAAGGGAUAUUGACCUGCUUUUCUUUUCUUUUUUUGUUUUGUUUUUGUUUUUGUUUUUGGAGACAGGGUUUCUCUCUGUAGCUUUGGAGGCUGU